rnacentral:rRNA from 1 species
CUACGGAGGGUGCAAGCGUUACUCGGAAUCACUGGGCGUAAAGCGCGCGCAGGCGGCUAUUUAAGUUGGAUGUGAACGCCUACGGCUCAACCGUAGAACUGCAUCCAAAACUAUUUAGCUAGAGUGUGGGAGAGGAAGAUGGAAUUAGUUGUGUAGGGGUAAAAUCCGUAGAGAUAACUAGGAAUACCAAAAGCGAAGGCAAUCUUCUGGAACACUACUGACGCUGAGGCGCGAAAGCGUGGGGAGCAAACGGGAUUAGAAACCCUAGUAGUCC